rnacentral:lncRNA from 1 species
UACACGUGAAAAAACGUGAAACCACAGGGACCACCCGGGCAAUUAACUCAAAAAAAAAUAAAGAACCAAAUAUAGUUAAUAAUACACACCUAAGAUAUACUCAACGUCUUCAACAAAACCUUGUCUCAACAUUUCAUCAGCUUCGUCAAGGAUGCGAAAUUUCAGAGACGAUAGGUCAAGAUUCCCUCUCUCAAUGUGAUCCUAGACACCAUUUCGAAUUACAUAAUGGUUAAUAAAGAUAUACGUGUCACACUCAUGCUGUUGUAGUAAGAGUUGUUGUCAUGCAGUACCUUAACACGACCAACAGCUCCGACAACGAUAUCCACCCCUCGUUUUAAUUGCACGGUUUGAGGAGAAAUGGAUGCUCCACCUCCACCAUACAGACAACACGAACUCAGCCCCACAGCCUCACCAUAGUAUUUAAAAUCUGUAAAUACCUAUAACAAAAACAAUGAAUAUGAACUAACUAUCUUGUAAACAAAUAAAAAAAUAGGGCAUAAAAGUCAAAAGAGAUCAUGCUGACUUAAACAGGUACCUGCUUUGCUAAUUCUCGGGUUGGCAAAAGCACAAGAAUUGUAGGCGACCUGCCAUAUCCAGUCUUACGUGAUAAUUUUUCAGUUCCGCUGGUAAGAGACUCCAAUAUAGGUAAAAUGAAAGCCAAUGUUUUACCCUGUGAAAUUAAAACAAGUUAACUAUGGUUUAUGCAAUGUUUAAUUUAAAAAUGAAACCACUCAGUUUGGUAGAAUAACAGGUAAAGCGAAAGAUUUAAGAGUGAUUCAAAGUACCUGUCCGGUUUUGGCUUUCCCGAUCAAAUCAAGACCGUCAUAGAUGGAUUCAAAAGUCCGAGCUUGAAUAGGAAACAAAGCCUCAAUCCCCUUAGCCUUCAAAGCAUUCUUCAACGGCUCAGAGAUCUUAAAGUUGGUAACCGCAUUAGGGUUUUCUUCUUUAAUCUCAGGCUCCUUUUCAUCUACCUCAGCUGUCUUCAUCUUUUUCUUCUUACUUUUCUUCAAAGACUCCUCAAUCUUUAUAGAUUCCAAACAAAAUCAGUCAUUAUACGAUAGAAGUAACACUACCGGCAUACACAUGCAUACAAAUUAAGCUUAAAACUACAUUAAUAUAGUAACAAUUUAAAAAAAAAGUAUCUAAAUCCCCUGAGAUUAACAUACAAUAGAGCUAACACAAAGGAGUACAAAUUAAUCUUACAACUACAGAAAUAAUAUAAAAAUUUACAAAAAAAUAUAUAUAUACGCAUUCCUUGUGAUUAAAAUCAAUAAAAUUAACACUCGCGACAUACACAAAUGCGCACUAAUUAAGCUUUUAAAACUACAAAAAUACCAUAACUGCUUUCAAAAAAUAUCUAAAUACCUUGAGAUUAACUUUACAAUAAAACUAACAAUAAGAACUUACACAAAUGACAAUGUGUACAGAUUAUGCUUAAAACUAUAUAAACAGAAUAACGGUUUACAAAAUUAUCUGCACACCUUGAGACUAACAUACAAUAAAAACUUCACUAACGGCAUACAUAAAUGCGUACAAAUUAAACUAAUACCUUGAGAUUAACAUACAAUAUAACUAACGCCCCACGGCAUACAAAAAUGCAUAUUAAUUAAGCUAAAAUUACAAAAAUAUCAUACAAAAAUGCAUACUAAUUAAGUCAAAACUACAAAAAUAUCAUAACAGGUUACAGAAAAAAUAUCUAAAUACCUUGAGAGUAACAUACAAUAUAAUUAACACUAACAACAUACGCAAAUGCGCACUAAUUAAGCUUAAAACUACACAAUUAUUGUAACAGUUUAUAUAAAAUAUCUAACAUACAGCAUAAACAAACGCGUACAAAUUAAGCUUGAAACUACACAAAUAUCAUAACAAUUUAUAAAAAAAAAAAAAAAAAAAAAAAAAAAAAAAAACAUCUACAUACCUUGAGAUUAAUCGGUUCACCUAACUCAGAACUCGUGUCGCUCUUUCCUUCAUCGUUAUCUGAAUCCGAUGAAGCCUUGCGUUUCCUCUUGAUCUUCUUCUCGGAUUUCUCAGAAUCAGAUGCAGUUUCGGCGGAUUUACUCUUCUUACUCUUUUUCUCUUUCUUUUUAGUUGCAGAUUCGAGUCCGGCGGUUUCGGACUUCAUCUUCUUGACCUUCUGUUCGGAUGCUGGAGCUAGGGUUUCAGACAAAUCGGCAAGUGAAGGCAUGGUGUUUGUUAAUGCCGUUGGAUUUCGAGGGUUGCUAG